UAGAGUCAUUGUACCUGUUAUUUUGAGCUA
rnacentral:piRNA from 1 species